rnacentral:tmRNA from 1 species
GGGGGCGUAAUGGUUUCGACGUGGGUGUUGCACUGUAACUGGCGGGUGGCGUUCGCGAAAAUCGCCUAAAACGUUCGCAAUUUAAAAAUAAACGCUAACAAGAAUUUAGCUUACGCUGCCUAAUUUAAUUAGGUAGCCGUCCCUUCCCCGAACGCCGCGGCGGGGUCUGGGGCGUCACUGAGCGGCCACCAUGACCAUGUUAAGAUUUGCGCAUGGCAGGACAAAUGAAUCUACUAAGGCCGUAAGCCUGCAAUUAGGCGUGCGGCCAAGGGAAUGUUAAUAUAAUUGCUACGCCCGUAGAUGGUUGCAGGAAUUCGCCGGCGGACGGGAGUUCGAUCCUCCCCGCCUCCACCA